rnacentral:rRNA from 1 species
GGGUUGUAAAGCACUUUCAGUCGUGAGGAAGGUAGUGUAGUUAAUAGCUGCAUUAUUUGACGUUAGCGACAGAAGAAGCACCGGCUAACUCCGUGCCAGCAGCCGCGGUAAUACGGAGGGUGCGAGCGUUAAUCGGAAUUACUGGGCGUAAAGCGCAUGCAGGUGGUUUGUUAAGUCAGAUGUGAAAGCCCGGGGCUCAACCUCGGAAUUGCAUUUGAAACUGGCAGACUAGAGUACUGUAGAGGGGGGUAGAAUUUCAGGUGUAGCGGUGAAAUGCGUAGAGAUCUGAAGGAAUACCGGUGGCGAAGGCGGCCCCCUGGACAGAUACUGACACUCAGAUGCGAAAGCGUGGGGAGCAAACAGGAUUAGAUACCCUGGUAGUCCACGCCGUAAACGAUGUCUACUUGGAGGUUGUGGCCUUGAGCCGUGGCUUUCGGAGCUAACGCGUUAAGUAGACCGCCUGGGGAGUACGGUCGCAAGAUUAAAACUCAAAUGAAUUGACGGGGGCCCGCACAAGCGGUGGAGCAUGUGGUUUAAUUGGAUGCAACGCGAAGAACCUUACCUACUCUUGACAUCCAGUGAACUUUCCAGAGAUGGAUUGGUGCCUUCGGGAACUCUGAG